rnacentral:misc_RNA from 1 species
GAUGAAGAACGUAGCGAAAUGCGAUAAGUAAUGCGAAUUGCAGAAUUUCCGUGAAUCAUCGAAUCUUUGAACGCACAUUGCGCCCGCCAGUAUUCUGGCGGGCAUGCCUGUUCGAGCGUCAUUUCAACCCUCAAGCACAGCUUGGUGUUGGGACUCGCGUUAAUUCGCGUUCCUCAAAUUGAUUGGCGGUCACGUCGAGCUUCCAUAGCGUAGUAGUAAAACCCUCGUUACUGGUAAUCGUCGCGGCCACGCCGUUAAACCCCAACUUCUGAAUGUUGACCUCGGAUCAGGUAGGAAUACCCGCUGAACUUAAGCAUAUCAAUAAGCGGAGGA